rnacentral:rRNA from 1 species
AUUGAACGCUGGCGGCAUGCUUUACACAUGCAAGUCGAACGGCAGCGCGGGCUUCGGCCUGGCGGCGAGUGGCGAACGGGUGAGUAAUACAUCGGAACGUGCCCCGUAGUGGGGGAUAGCUCGGCGAAAGCCGGAUUAAUACCGCCUACGACCUGCGGGUGAAAGCGGGGGGUCUUCGGACCUCGCGCUAUUUGAGCGGCCGAUGGCAGAUUAGCUAGUUGGUGGGGUAAAGGCCUACCAAGGCGACGAUCUGUAGCUGGUCUGAGAGGACGACCAGCCACACUGGGACUGAGACACGGCCCAGACUCCUACGGGAGGCAGCAGUGGGGAAUUUUGGACAAUGGGCGAAAGCCUGAUCCAGCAAUGCCGCGUGUGUGAUGAAGGCCUUCGGGUUGUAAAGCACUUUUGGCGGGAACGAAAAGGACUGUGCCAAUACCACGGUUCGAUGACGGUACCCGCAGAAUAAGCACCGGCUAACUACGUG